rnacentral:tRNA from 1 species
UUAAUUGAAGCCAAAUAUGAGGCACUUUAAUGUUAAUAAAGUUAAUGAUGAAUUUUAUAAUCCAAUUAAA